GCUUACGGCCAUACCACCCUGAAAAUGCCCGAUCUCGUCUGAUCUCGGAAACAAACCACGAUCGGGCCUGGUCAGUACUUGGAUGGGAGACCGCCUGGGAAUACCAGGUGCUGUAAGCU
ensembl:rRNA 5S_rRNA 5S ribosomal RNA